rnacentral:rRNA from 1 species
AUUAAGCAUAUCAAUAAGCGGAGGAAAAGAAACUAACAAGGAUUCCCCUAGUAGCGGCGAGCGAAGCGGGAAGAGCUCAAAUUUAUAAUCUGGCGCUUUCGGCGUCCGAGUUGUAAUCUCUAGAAGUGUUUUCCGCGUUGGACCGCACAUAAGUCUGUUGGAAUACAGCGGCACAGUGGUGAGACCCCCGUUCACGGUGCGGAUGCCCAAUGCUUUGUGAUACACUUUCGAAGAGUCGAGUUGUUUGGGAAUGCAGCUCAAAUUGGGUGGUAAAUUCCAUCUAAAGCUAAAUAUUGGCGAGAGACCGAUAGCGAACAAGUACCGUGAGGGAAAGAUGAAAAGCACUUUGGAAAGAGAGUUAACAGUACGUGAAAUUGUUGGAAGGGAAACGCUUGAAGUCAGACUUGCUAUUCGGGGCUUGCUCCGAGUUGCAGGCCAGCAUCAGUUUUUCGGGGCGGAAAAUCACGGAUUGAAGGUAGCAGUUUCGGCUGUGUUAUAGCUUUCCGUUGGAUACGUCCUGGGGGACUGAGGAACGCAGUGUGCUUUUAGCGAGGGCUUCGGCUCUUUCACACUUAGGAUGCUGGUGGAAUGGCUUUAAACGACCCGUCU